AUAUUUUUAUCUUGGAUUUUUGUGAGGGAUCACCUUAUAAUGCUACCGUCGUCCUAAGCAAAAUAAGGUACAUAAAUGGAUUAACAUCACAUGCAAAUCAUAAGUGACAUGAUAUGGCCAUGAACUUGUGCUUCUUGAUCUCCAUCACCAAUGCACUCGCAUGAUCUCCAUCGUCACCAGCGCCACACCAUGAUCUCCAUCAUCGUGCUGCCAUCGAGGUUGUCAUGCCACCUCUGCUGUUACUACUAAAGCUAAUGAACUAGCGAUAAAGUAAAGCAUCACUGGGCGCAAAAAUAAUUAAAGUCAACCCUAUGGCUCCUGCCGGUUGCCGUAGCAUCGAUGUGCAAGUCGAUAUUUAACUAUUACAACAUGAUCAUCUCAUACAUCAAAUAUAUCAUAUCAUGUCUUUUGC
rnacentral:lncRNA from 1 species